AUUCAGGACAAUAUGAAAUUACAAAUGAAAUUUCUCUGAACUUGUUUCAAAUUAAUGAACCUGUAUUAAAUAGAUUAUUAAUGACUUUAUUCACAUAUCUCUGACCUUUUAACCUCAUAUCAUAUGUUGAAAGCAUAAUAAAAUUGAGUGAAAAUUGGAAUAUGUCAAAAGAAACAACAACCUGAUCAAAGAGUAGUUAAGAGCUAAGCAUUUCAUACAAAAUACAUAUACAUAUAUAAAUUAGUUUCAGGAUAAUUGAAAUUCAGAUAAAGAAUGUAAAACAAAUAAGGGGAGAUAACGUAAAAAGUCAAGUUAUCAGAACCAAAAAAAAACCCAACUGUUUAGAACAUAAAAUAACCUCAAAUUCAACACACAUGAUGUCAGAAGAACAAAAUGGCUGAGAAAGUUUCUUCUUUCAAACUUUCUAUAUUAUUUCCUUUCUAUCUUUUUUUAUAAACUUGUGCAUUUUGUUGUAAAUACAUGUACUGACUACAUUUGUGAAGGAUUCACCAAGGCUUACUCCCUUUGUUAUUAUAUUUAGCAUGUUAAGCAGAAUAACUAAUAUUUUUUAUAUUUCACCACAACCAUGACAACCUGUCUUCCAUUACUUUAGCUGAGUCAAGUGCGUGUAUUAUGGACAAGUAAAUCUUUUUUUUAGUACAAAAAAUGUUCUGUUGUAUACAACUCUACCAUCUUGAUAAAUUUUGUUCCUUGCACGACUGAAAUGAGUUAAUGGCAGCUUUCUUAAAAUCUCUACAGAUUAUAAGUUAUAUACAAUUUCAACCUGAUACCACAAAAUGUUUAACAAAAUCAAAAAUUACAUAUAAAAUAUGUAGUGAACAAUUUUUCAUUCAAAACAAUCAUAUACUUAAAGGAAUAUUUUUAACAAUGAGUUUUGUUUAGAUGAUACUAUGCAUUUAUGUAAGGAUAUUGUGUAAACUUGAUGAACAGUUCUUUAAAAAUUUAAACAUUUUAAAUGCAAAAAUAUUAUGCAAACAGAUGAUCAUUUUGAAACCCCACUUAAUUCUGUGUUUAACCAUUCUACAUGUUCUAAACUAAAUUUUUAUACUGUAGAACUUGUUUAUCUGUAGAGUGUUUUAAAAAUUUAUAUUUAAAACUGACUGGGUUGCACAAUCGUCCAUUAAUGUUAAUUACGUUUAAAUUUUAAUUGUUUAUUCAUUCAUUUACAAAUACAAGUUACAAUUAACACUUUAAGAUUUAAACAUUAUGUAUUGUUAAAUUGACAUUUGUGCAACCUUUCUUCAAAAAUAACAAAUUUCAACAAUUUAAAUAUUGUGGUGCUGAACACCAAUAUAUAGUACUGAACCAGUCCAUGUUUUAUAUGUACCUUAACAUUAAUCCGUGAUGUAGUACACAAAAAAAAAGAUUCGAACUCUUCACCUUUAACCAAAUGUAUUGACAUUUUUUAUUGUAUUGAUUAUUUCUAUUAUAACUGUAUUUUGUGUAUUAAUUGCUGUAUCACUAGUAAUAAACCCUGGUGAGUUUCAUAUAUCAUUUUUGUAUUGUUAUCAUAUGCUCGGAUCUUACGACAAUAUUGCACAAAUAUAUUUUUUUUAAAUGAAUGAAGCUGACAUUUCUGGAUAAGGAAGAGUUUUCCCUUAUGAAUAACUCUUCACUUAUGAAUUACAAAUUUCCUUUUGAAAAUCAGAAAUGAAUGAACAUGAUGAAAUCAGAAUUUUUUUCAUUAUUUUAGACACCAUCGUAAGACAUAUACUUUAUGCAUGACUUCUGUUCUGAACAAUAAAAUCAAAUUAAAGAAUCAGUAACACUAUUAUCAUGAUUACUGACCUUGUUAUCACUAGACUGGAAGGUAAAUAAAAUAAUUAAUAAUAAAGCUUUGAUUGACUUCCCAUUUCCAUCAUAUAUGUAUGUCCUUGGCAAAUUUUGAAACACCACAGAAUUUGUAUUUAGCUACAUUCAAAUGUUAUUGACCAUCACUGAUUCAGAUUUGUAACAUUGUAG
rnacentral:lncRNA from 1 species